AAGCAAAAUAGUGAUAUGGAGCAAAACCCUAAAAACGGUCUCAGUUCGGAUUGAAGGCUGAAAUUCGCCUUCAUGAAGCUGGAAUUGCUAGUAAUGGCAGGUCAGCAUACUGCCGUGAAUACGUUCCCGGGCCUUGUACACACCGCCCGUCACACCAUGAGAGUUGGGAAUACCCGAAGCCUGUGAGCUAACUGUAAGGAGGCAGCAGUCGAAGGUAGAAUCAAUGAUUGGGGUGAAGUCGUAACAAGGUAUC
rnacentral:rRNA from 1 species